rnacentral:rRNA from 1 species
AGACCCUAUGAAGCUUUACUGUAACUUGAAAUUGAAACUGGACUUUGUUUGCGCAGUAUAGGUGGGAGGCUUUGAUGAUUUUCUUGCGGGAAAGUCGGAGCCAUCAGUGAGAUACCACUCCUAUAAUGUUAGGUUUCUAACUUUGAAUCAUUAUCUGGUCAGAGGACAGUUUCAGGCGGGCAGUUUGACCAGAU